GGGUUAGUAGGUUGGUCAUGCCUCUGGUAUGUACUGAUCUCACUGAUUCCUCCUUCCUGAUGAGCCGUAAUGCCAUUAAUUUGGUGUUGCGGGGAAUUUGGACUGUUACCUUGAGAAAAUUAGAGUGUUCAAAGCAGGCUUAUGCCUGAAUACAUUAGCAUGGAAUAAUAGAAUAGGACGUGUGGUUCUAUUUUGUUGGUUUCUAGAAUCGCCGUA
rnacentral:rRNA from 1 species